rnacentral:rRNA from 1 species
UACAGAGGCCCCAAGCGUUACUGAGAAUCACUGGGUUUAAAGGGUGCGUAGGUGGUCCGUUAAGUUCGUUGUGAAAGCCCUGGGCUCAACCCAGGAACUGCUUCGAAUACUGGCGGACUUGAGGCUAGUAGAGGUCACUGGAACUGACGGUGGAGCGGUGAAAUGCGUAGAUAUCGUCAGGAACGCCAAUGGUGAAGACAGGUGACUGGGCUAGUUCUGACACUGAGGCACGAAAGCGUGGGGAUCAAACAGG